GACGAAGGAUGCAAGCGUUGUCCGGAUUCAUUGGGUUUAAAGGGCGCGUAGGCGGUGCGGUAAGUCACCUGUGAAAACUCUGGGCUCAACUCAGAGCCUGCAGGCGAAACUGCCGUGCUUGAGUGUGGGAGAGGUGCGUGGAAUUCCCGGUGUAGCGGUGAAAUGUGUUGAUAUCGGUGGGAACGCCAGUGGCGAAAGCGGCAGACUUGACCCUUCCUGACGCUGAGUGCGCGAAAGCUAGGGGAGCAAACGGG
rnacentral:rRNA from 1 species